rnacentral:rRNA from 1 species
UAUUGCACAAUGGGGGAAACCCUGAUGCAGCGACGCCGCGUGAGUGAAGAAGUAUUUCGGUAUGUAAAGCUCUAUCAGCAGGGAAGAANNAAGACGGUACCUGACUAAGAAGCCCCGGCUAACUACGUGCCAGCAGCCGCGGUAAUACGUAGGGGGCAAGCGUUAUCCGGAUUUACUGGGUGUAAAGGGAGCGUAGACGGCGAUACAAGUCUGAAGUGAAAGCCCGGGGCUCAACCCCGGGACUGCUUUGGAAACUGUGUUGCUGGAGUGCUGGAGAGGCAAGCGGAAUUCUUAGUGUAGCGGUGAAAUGCGUAGAUAUUAGGAAGAACACCAGUGGCGAAGGCGGCUUGCUGGACAGUAACUGACGUUGAGGCUCGAAAGCGUGGGGAGCAAACAGG